rnacentral:rRNA from 1 species
UUUUCUGGUGCUUGCCUAGAAAAACUUAGCGGCGAACGGGUGAGUAACACGUAAAGAACCUGCCUCAUAGACUGGGACAACUAUUGGAAACGAUAGCUAAUACCGGAUAACAGUAUUUCUCGCAUGAGAGAUAUUUAAAAGUUGGUUAUGCUAACACUAUGAGAUGGCUUUGCGGUGCAUUAGCUAGUUGGUGGGGUAAAGGCCCACCAAGGCGACGAUGCAUAGCCGACCUGAGAGGGUGAUCGGCCACACUGGGACUGAGACACGGCCCAGACUCCUACGGGAGGCAGCAGUAGGGAAUCUUCCGCAAUGGGCGAAAGCCUGACGGAGCAACGCCGCGUGAGUGAAGAAGGAUUUCGGUUCGUAAAGCUCUGUUGUUAGGGAAGAAUGGAUAUGUAGUAACUAUACAUAUAAGAGACGGUACCUAACCAGAAAGCCACGGCUAACUACGUGCCAGCAGCCGCGGUAAUACGUAGGUGGCAAGCGUUGUCCGGAAUUAUUGGGCGUAAAGCGCGCGCAGGUGGUUUAAUAAGUCUGAUGUGAAAGCCCACGGCUCAACCGUGGAGGGUCAUUGGAAACUGUUAAACUUGAGUGCAGGAGAGAAAAGUUGGAAUCCUAGUGUAGCGGUGAAAUGCGUAGAGAUUAGGAGGAACACCAGUGGCGAAGGCGGCUUUUUGGCCUGUAACUG